ensembl:lncRNA
UGCCGCUCCACCUGCUUGUGUGCGCGCUCCCUCUCUCUGUCAAAAGAAUAAAAAAAAAUAAACACACAGGACAACUUCUGUACCUACCUGGAUGCAGACCCUGAGAGCUUUCAGACGGCCAAGCCAUCCACGUGCCUCGCGGGAUGAUUCCAGGCUAGUCCUCUUUCUGCCACCCCCUACGUGGAGCACGUCACAGGUCCUCCGUGUCUGUGAGUCAGCGGCUGGAGGACGGAGCCUCGGGAGGCCUGAGGUGAGCAAGGCGGGGCAGGGCGUGGGCAGGGGCGCUGGGAGGGUCGUGGUGCGUCACCCCGGGGAGCCCCUGGCCAAGUGUGCGUCUGCGGGGACGCCCGGAUCCCUGUGGCCUGGGCCGGGGCACCGCCGGGCGCUCCACGGGUGGGAGGUAGCUGGAUGCCCUUGCGGCCUCGUGCAUGUUCCCGAGUCCCCUGAACAGAGCAGUUGCUAGAGCGGCUUGGCCGGGGCAAGAACCCGCGGCAAAUUCGGGUGCCCCCCGCCAAGGCCUUUGCUCCCUGGGCCCGGCGCUGAUGCCCUCCGCGGGCGCCCACCUGACCACGUGGCCAUCGGGGAUGAGCAGGCCCUGCCCCGGCUGCGAGCUCCUUCCCUGUGUCCAGCGCUGACCAUCCAUCCAGGGGGCUCCGACGAACAGACGAGCGCGAGUCUGGACGUCCAGGUGGCACGGGAGGCUCCCGGGGUGGGAACACACUUAAGAGAACUUCUGUCCCUUCUAGGGGCGGCGUGUGCCCUGUGGAGCCCGCACACGGGAAGGUGCCUCGCAGACCACGGACGUGCAGGGGGGCAUCCCCGGGAGGCUGCGGGGCGUCGGGGCAGAGCUGGGGUCCUCCGGGAGACCCGGAGACGUGCUGGGGAGCAGGGCUGGGGGGGCUGCUCCCCGGGAACCCCACUCCGGGCCGCCUCCCAGGCUUUCCCACUAGGGGGCAGGCAGAGGCAGGAGAAGAGUGAGGUGCUGGCCGGCGGCUCCCACCCAGCACCAAGCCGGCAAGACCAGGCCCCUCUUCCUGCCCUCUUCGGCCCGUGACAUCGCAGACCACGCGGCCACGGUAACCACAGUGGAUGAAUGAAAGAGAGCGAGCGAGAUCCCUGGUUUUCUUAUUUCACUCACCGUUUGUGGGUUUUCUAUCCGUGCCUCACGUGGCCGUUCAUUGUCGGGAACAGUCAAGAUGUACCUGAAAUCUGCCACUUUAUAAAAUGAGAAGGUCGACGGGGGAGGGGCGCCCUGGGGUCCCCGGGUCACCGAGGCUCAAGUCCUCAGGCCCAGUCACCGCUGCCCCCAUCUCCCGCCCAGCGCUCCUCUGUGUACCAACCCGGCAGUUGGAGGGAAACUCAUUUUCUGGAUGGUUCCCACGUGCCUUGAAAAGUCAUUUCCGCCUCCUCAGAAGCUCCAGGUGAGGGAUCCCUGGGUGGCGCAGCGGUUUGGCGCCUGCCUUUGGCCCAGGGCGCGAUCCUGGAGACCCGGGAUCGAAUCCCGCGUCGGGCUCUUGGUGCAUGGAGCCUGCUUCUCCCUAUGCCUGUGUCUCUGCCUCUCUCUUUCUGUGUGACUAUCAUAAAAAAAAAAAAAAAAGAAGCUCCAGGUGAUGGGGACCCUUGAUUGGUGUAAAUGUUUUCUAAUCCCCAAGGAUUAGAGAAAAGCAGCACAACGUUCCUUCUACGCCAGUCGUCCUCUCAUCAAAGUUACGGGGCCCAGACACCGGAGCCUAAAAUAACUAAAGUGAGUAUAAAGGAAUAAACGUCUUCCUAGGCCAGACUACGGAAAUGAA